CCUACGGGAGGCUGCAGUGGGGGAUAUUGCACAAUGGGGGGAACCCUGAUGCAGCGACGCCGCGUGGGUGAAGGAGUAUUUCGGUAUGUAAAGCCCUAUCGGCAGGGAAGAAGCAAGACGGUACCUGACUAAGAAGCCCCGGCUAACUACGUGCCAGCAGCCGCGGUAAUACGUAGGUGGCAAGCGUUAUCCGGAUUUACUGGGAGUAAAGGGAGCGUAGACGGUUAUGUAAGUCUGGAGUGAAAGCCCGGGGCCCAACCCCGGGACUGCUUUGGAAACUGUGUAACUGGAGUACAGGAGGGGCAGGCGGAAUUCCUGGUGUAGCGGUGAAAUGCGUAGAUAUCAGGAGGAACACCGGCGGCGAAGGCGGCCUGCUGGACUGAAACUGACGUUGAGGCUCGAAAGCGUGGGGAGCAAACAGGAUUAGAUACCCUGGUAGUC
rnacentral:rRNA from 1 species